rnacentral:rRNA from 1 species
GCAGCACGGGCUUCGGCCUGGUGGCGAGUGGCGAACGGGUGAGUAAUGCAUCGGAACGUACCCAUGUUGUGGGGGAUAACUACGCGAAAGCGUAGCUAAUACCGCAUAAGCCCUGAGGGGGAAAGCGGGGGAUCUUAGGACCUCGCGCGAUUGGAGCGGCCGAUGUCGGAUUAGCUAGUAGGUGGGGUAAAGGCUUACCUAGGCGACGAUCCGUAGCUGGUCUGAGAGGAUGAUCAGCCACACUGGGACUGAGACACGGCCCAGACUCCUACGGGAGGCAGCAGUGGGGAAUUUUGGACAAUGGGCGCAAGCCUGAUCCAGCCAUGCCGCGUGAGUGAAGAAGGCCUUCGGGUUGUAAAGCUCUUUCGCGAGGAAAGAAAUCGCACGCUCUAACAUAGCGUGUGGAUGACGGUACCUUGAUAAGAAGCACCGGCUAACUACGUGCCAGCAGCCGCGGUAAUACGUAGGGUGCGAGCGUUAAUCGGAAUUACUGGGCGUAAAGCGUGCGCAGGCGGUUUUGUAAGACAGAUGUGAAAUCCCCGGGCUUAAUCUGGGAACUGCGUUUGUGACUGCAAGGCUAGAGUACGGCAGAGGGGGGUGGAAUU